CUCGGCGGGCUGCUCUACUGCUGUCUGCGCAUGUGCUGCGGCGUGUGCGGCGGCAGCGGCGGCGGCAUGAGCAACAUGUGCGACUGUCGGCAGUACGGGCGACAGCAGAGACGGGCUAGAUACCCUCCAAGACAGGUCACCCCCGAUGAGGAAGUACCGCCCCCCGUCCCCUCGCCAGCCGACUCCGCCCCCUAAGAUCAUAGAGCGCCAGCCGCAGUACAUCCGGACAGUGGCGAGACCCAUCUCGUAUGGCCAGUUUCCCGGUGGCGGGGGUUACAUGCGACCACAACCAAUACUGCCCGGCUACUUUCCUUAACCAUGUGUCACGUGAUCGGAUAACCUGAAUGCCACGUGAUGGGAAUACAAACGUGCGAUAUGAACUCACGUUUUAAAUAAGACCAGACGUUUAGGCGUAAUACAGACCGUUGUGUGGUGUGUUUGUUAUGUUUGAUAACAGUUUUGUAAAAUUGUACAUAAUUCUAUUAUAAAUAAUGAAAUGUUUCAAAAUUUAUGUUGUUUCAGUGAAUAUAUUCGUAAACAUGAA